UACGUAGGGGGCAAGCGUUGUCCGGAAUCAUUGGGCGUAAAGAGCGUGUAGGCGGUCCGAUAAGUCCGCUCUGAAAGCCCGGGGCUCAACCCCGGGAGGCGGGCGGAUACUGUCGGGCUAGAGUCCGGAAGAGGCAAGUGGAAUUCCUGGUGUAGCGGUGAAAUGCGCAGAUAUCAGGAGGAACACCGAUGGCGAAGGCAGCUUGCUGGGACGGUACUGACGCUGGAGACGCGAAAGCGUGGGGAGCAAACAGG
rnacentral:rRNA from 1 species